AAAAUUAAUGUUUCUACAGUACAGUACAUAGCUAUAGUUUUCUUUGGGUUAAACUGUCAAAGCUGGAAGUUUAGUAUUUCUUGUCCAUGUUGUAAAACUGUUAUCCUCUUUGUAGACUUGUUUCUCUUUUGGUUGCUUGUCAUUUUUGCCAUGGGAUUGUUAUUUGUUUUUUCCACUUACAAAUUUGACUAUUGUUUUGAUACCUUCCACCUCUAUCAUGUCUAUUGUAAGGGACGACAUCAAAAGAUCAAUGUAAGAUAAAAAACUUCAUUCAAAUAGUUUGGGGGUGGGGGAAUUGAAUGGCUGCAAGAUUUGGUUAUCUGACAUUAAUUUUUACAUAUAUCCAUAUGGGUCAAUCAAUUUUUCCCAAAUUAAGAGGGGGGUGGGGUCAGUGAAAAAAACUAUGUGAAUUAAGUUUUUUAUCCUUCAUUGAACUUUUGAUGUGGUCCGUAAGGUGGUUGUUUAUGAUUAAAUAUUGUAAGCUAGAUAUGUCAUCUAAGCUUGAUAUAAAAUAGGGAAAUGUGGUAUGGUCAGUGGCGGAUCCAGCCAUUUUAAAAAGGGGGGUUCCCAACCCAGGACAAAAGGGGGGGGGUGGUCCAACUAUAUGUCCCCAUUCAAAUGCAUGGAUUGGCAAAAAAAAGGGGGUUCUAACCCCCGGAACCCCCCUGGAUCCGCCACUGUAUGGUUGUUAAUGAGAAAACUGUCCAUCAUAGACCAACGUAAAUGAAUAUUAACCUCAGUCAUUGAAAUAUCAAGUCAGUACUGAGGUUUCAAAGCAGGUUUUAAUGCUACUGCAUCUUGAAUGGCUGGUGAUAUAUUCCAGAUACAAGAUGACAAUCAUAGAAACCUGCUAUUGCACCUGUUGAAAUAUUGGAACAAACAAAGUUAACCACCUACUUUAAGGUGGUAUAGAAGUCUAAAUUAAAAAGGAUAGAAUUUUUUCAUACUUUGCCAAAACGUAGUAUAUAUUGAUACAUGUUCAAAAAUAUAAUAAAAUGAUGGUCAUUGAGCAUAUUCUCACACUACAGGUUGUGACAAAAUGACACAUUUUGUAUUGAUUAUGCAGGAAAAAGCAUCAUUAUGUGAUUAGAAGCUAAACCAAAUGAUAAAAUUGUAAAAUAAAAUACCAGAAGACAGCUUUUUAAAAAUACUUUGAUAAUAUCAGAAGAAAAAAUAGGGUCACUGUCCUUUUUUCCGGCUAAAAUACAAAAUAGAAAAAUUCCAUGUAGAUGCCUUCAAAAAAUGUACUAUUUCAGAGUUAACUCCCUUUAAAAUGCCAAUUUAAAAAUACUAAAAAUCAAGCCGCAAUAACCAACACUUGUAAAAAAAUUAAUAUCUAUAAAGUUAAAAUCUUAUAAAUUUAUUAUUUUAAAUGCAAAUUCACAUUAGUUAUUAAGUUGGGGAAAGACACCCAUACCACCCUAAGUGUGAUGCUUGGCAUAUAAAAAAAAAGUGAACCAUGAGGUAAAUUCAAAAGGGGAACUAAAAAAACUGAAUAAAAUUAAAUGUUAGACUACUGUAAAUUCAAAAAUUUUUGCAUGCAUUUAAGAAUUGAAUGCUUCUUUUUGAAACUUUAUUGGGGUGCCGUUGACCGAAGUACAUUUUGUAUGAAGCUCUUCAUAAUAAAAAUGUACGCACUGUCAACGCUUUUACAACCCUAUAAAGUUACAAAAAAAAAGCAUUCAAUACUUAUAAUUACAUUAUUUAGCUAGGAUCAUGAAAACACGAC
rnacentral:lncRNA from 1 species